UUUCAAAAAUGUAAAAUGACUGAAUGUUUUCAUCUCAAUAAUACCAAAUCCAAGCUGUGGGUGACUGUGUUCCACAGACACUGGAGACAAGAAGUGUUAGAUCUAACACUGAAGAGGACUGAAGAACAGUCAUUCACUUUUUCUUAUGCUGAAACUUCGAAGGUCACAUCAUGCACCAUUCCCUGAGUUUCUUUCACAGUUGUCUACCAUGAAUUGGAGCAUCUACUCUAGCUGUAUUCUUCUUCAAACUAGAUCUUAUUUGCCUGUUUCCUUUAGCUUAAUGUACUAUUUUCCUUAUUCUUCUGUUACUUUCUGUCCUUCAACCUGUGCUACAUCUUGGCACUGAUUUUUCUCCUCUGGGUAUCCUUCAAGUUGCAGAGACCAUUCCCUCCUGAACCUACUUCAAUGGGAAUCGAGAACUGAAGUCCAGAAGCAUGUCUGUUGGCUGAUUUUUAGGAAUAGGGCAGACUAUCUAUAGCAUUUCUUUCUUUUUUGAUGAUAAAAUAUGACUGGCCAGGUGCCAAGUCUCUGAAGUCCGUUGAUGAGGUUCCCUCCACCACACCUAUUGUAAGGUAAGAACCUGUAGUUAUGGGAUAUGUGGUACACUUACUUUGCUUCAACACCUGGGUUCAGCUUGUGGUUUUCUCUGUCCACUCAACCUGAAUUGCCAAGGAAAAUGGUCAUUGGCAAGAAGGUUCUACUAGGCCAAAGAGAAGGACUGUCAGUCUAGCAUUUUGUGCCUAAGUUUGUGCCUCAGUUGCUGGUAUUGUAUACUUUGUUUCUCACUGAAAGAGUUCACUUUCACCAAAGUCCACAUAGGGAUAAUGUCCACCUAUGUUGAAGGCUCCUUACAGUUACUUCAUAGUUCUUGUGAGUUCCCUACGUAUGAUUUGGGUUGCUGCAGUGCUCUUUGAUGGAUCUCUAAUGGAAGCUGGGUGAUUCUGUUCAAGUCUCUUUGCUGAAGGCAACUCUGCUCACCACGUGCCUUAGUGCACAAUGGUGGUUUUCCUGCCCAUAGCACAGCUAGAAAGAUAGAAGAUACCCAAGACAUUGUAUAGUCAUCUUGCUCUAGAUCGCAUCCUGGGGACCUACUCUGGACAAUUAUUUGCCACUGUAACUCUUUAAUUUGAAGCAGGAAAUUUAACCUAUUUUCCUUUCACUAGCAUCCAAAGGCUGAACAGACUCAUGGACAUCUUGAAGAAAUUUGGUUACUCAUCACUAAGCCUCUUUUGCUUGUCUGUUACAAGAAAAAUUGAUUGUGUCUUCUCAGGAAGUUAAUGUGCUGAUACCUUGAAGUGUACCUGUUCAUUGAUAAAGAACUUGAAAUGAACAUUAAGCAAUUACAUAAGCUCAGUGUCUCAGGUUUACUAUACAGAAGGGCAUUGAGACCAUUGUAGAACCUCACUCAUACUAACAUUUAUUUAAAAUAUUGCAGCUUUUUCUGCUACCUUUUUUUACUUAUAUUUAGAUUUUGGUCUUGGAGGGGAUGUCUUUCAUCCAUUUGAAAUGCACGUGCAAUCCUACAGCGCCUGUCAGGAUCAGGGCACAGCUCAGAGGCUCACCAGUCAAACAGCAGUCGCGUGUAAAAAGCUGAGCCAUCAUUUCUUGCCAGUCAAUGGGCCACAGAACAGAGGGGUUGUGCUCUUACUGGUCCAAGCCAAAAAGCACAAAGUCCCGAUGUCCUCUGCAAACAGUAAAGUAAAUAAAUCCAUGAACUAAAAAGAGAUAUUUGAAGCAU